rnacentral:rRNA from 1 species
AUACAUAGCUUAAUGAGGGGAACUCAGGGAACUGAAACAUCUAAGUACCUGAAGGAAGAGAAAGAAAUUCGAUUCCGUAAGUAGCGGCGAGCGAACGCGGAUUAGCCCAAACCAAUAAAGUUUUCUUUAUUGGGGUUGCGGACAUAUCAUAACGAAGAGGGAUCGUAAUUGAAGAGGUUUGGAAAGACCCACCACAGAAGGGAAUAGUCCUGUAUGUUAAACGAGAAGACUUCAGAUAUGAUCCAGAGUACCACGGGACACGUGAAACCCUGUGGGAAGCAGGAGGGACCACCCUCCAAGGCUAAAUACUACCUAGUGACCGAUAGCGUAUAGUACCGUGAGGGAAAGGUGAAAAGA